ACAUUCUCAUCCACUGCACCGACUCCCUUCCACCAACUUUGUAUCUCCGAUUAGACAAGACAGCAAGGGAGAACAAGAAUCGACACGUCUUUGCCUUUCUCUCUCUCUUAAUGGAGCUCAUUAUCUUCAAAAAGAAGACGAUGCAACAGUGAGGUGGCCCAUUUGCGACUUAAUGCUAGCAGGCACUCAACCAGUGAAUGCUCCACAGCAGCAAGUGCAUGCUGACAUCACAGAGGAAAAACCAUACAGACAGGUUCAUCUUGGACCCAAUGCGAGGAAGGCUCAAGAGGACAGAAAUACUGGAGGGAGAUAUGGUGGCCACCUACCGCGAGGCGUAUAGCACACAAUGACCACAGAUAGGACAAGGACAAGAUGUGGACAAGGUCAGGGAGGAUGUCCUUGUACUAGAAUGGUUUACAGGGACAUUGGCAACAAAAUGGAAGAAGAUGAUGGUUGCUGUCACAGGACAGCGGGACUGGAAGCAGGUUUGGGUUGAGACCAUUCCAAGGGAUAGUGUAAUUCUCCUUCCUUUCACUCUGACAGCAAGAGACAAACUGCCACCUCAGUUAGUGAUUCGAUUGAAGGAGAAAUAUAUGGAUUAUUUGAAGUAGGUAUUCAGGCCUAGUUAAAGCCCUUCUAUAGUGUUGGGACCCCCCCCCCCCCCAAUUUGAUGGCAAUAUUCCACAUAGAGUGCGUACUGACAUAUGGUUUUCGAUGAACACACAAUUCUGCAAGGAUUUUCAUGACGCUAGUGAUUGAAGACAAAUUUUGGUAAUAGAAAUAAAGGAAUUUCAAUUUUUCUCUUUUAAGCAUACAACUCAAUUUUUAAAAAGAUUUGUUUUUAAAUCAUCACUAAGAUAACAAAUGAACUUUCGAACAUUAAGUUUUAAGUAACAUGUAUAUGUGAUAAAUUGUUCGCCCUGAAACUGCACUGAAAUAUUUUAU